rnacentral:rRNA from 1 species
GGCGGACGGGUGAGUAAUGCCUAGGAAUCUGCCUGGUAGUGGGGGAUAACGCUCGGAAACGGACGCUAAUACCGCAUACGUCCUACGGGAGAAAGCAGGGGACCUUCGGGCCUUGCGCUAUCAGAUGAGCCUAGGUCGGAUUAGCUAGUUGGUGAGGUAAUGGCUCACCAAGGCGACGAUCCGUAACUGGUCUGAGAGGAUGAUCAGUCACACUGGAACUGAGACACGGUCCAGACUCCUACGGGAGGCAGCAGUGGGGAAUAUUGGACAAUGGGCGAAAGCCUGAUCCAGCCAUGCCGCGUGUGUGAAGAAGGUCUUCGGAUUGUAAAGCACUUUAAGUUGGGAGGAAGGGCAGUUACCUAAUACGUGAUUGUUUUGACGUUACCGACAGAAUAAGCACCGGCUAACUCUGUGCCAGCAGCCGCGGUAAUACAGAGGGUGCAAGCGUUAAUCGGAAUUACUGGGCGUAAAGCGCGCGUAGGUGGUUUGUUAAGUUGAAUGUGAAAUCCCCGGGCUCAACCUGGGAACUGCAUCCAAAACUGGCAAGCUAGAGUAUGGUAGAGGGUGGUGGAAUUUCCUGUGUAG